AGACAUUGUUGAACUUUUUGGGUGGCUCUGAUCUGAUGCCACCAGUCUAUUACCUGCCCUAGCUGAAGUUGGUCUCCAAGAGAUAUAAAUUUGGGGAGAGGGCUAAAACACCAUUAAACAAAUUGUCUCCUGAUUGCACCCUGUCUGGAAUAUUAUUACUCAGCAGCAUAAAAGAGAAGUGUUAGGAGCUGCUCUUAACCCUUUGGAGUCGGAAGAGAAAAGGGAACUAGAGGGCUUGACUUCUCCUUUACCUCCUGCAUUUACUCUGACCACAGUCCCUCCCUGUUCUCACAAGUGGAGCUCAGCCCUGCUUCCCUUCCUGUUGAUUCCCAGUCAGCUACAUGACUGCCUGAAGUUAAAUUUUAGAUGCUGAAAUCACUGCACCUUAGAAACAAAAAGAUUAAGCUGCACUGCAUUUCUGUAAGUAAAAGCUUUUCCGGUACCUUUUGUCAGUAUUUCUCUGAAUACAGUGCACACAAUAAAA
rnacentral:lncRNA from 1 species